rnacentral:rRNA from 1 species
UACGAAGGGGGCUAGCGUUGCUCGGAAUCACUGGGCGUAAAGCGCACGUAGGCGGGUCUUUAAGUCAGGGGUGAAAUCCUGGAGCUCAACUCCAGAACUGCCUUUGAUACUGAGGAUCUUGAGUUCGGGAGAGGUGAGUGGAACUGCGAGUGUAGAGGUGAAAUUCGUAGAUAUUCGCAAGAACACCAGUGGCGAAGGCGGCUCACUGGCCCGAUACUGACGCUGAGGCACGAAAGCGUGGGGAGCAAACAGGG